AUUGAACGCUGGCGGCAGGCCUAACACAUGCAAGUCGAGCGAGCGGCGGACGGGUGAGUAAUGUCUGGGAAACUGCCUGACGGAGGGGGAUAACUACUGGAAACGGUAGCUAAUAACGCAUACCAUCAGAUGUGCCCAGAUGGGGUUAGCUGGUAGGUGGGGUAAGGGCUCACCUAGGCGACGCUCACUAGCUGGUCUGAGAGGAUGACCAGCGACACUGGAACUGAGACACGGGCCAGACUCCGACGGGAGGCAGCAGUGGGGAAUAUUGCACAAUGGGCGCAAGCCUGAUGCAGCCAUGCCGCGUGUAUGAAGAAGGCCUUCGGGUUGUAAAGUACUUUCAGCUGGGAGGCGUUACCCGCAGAAGAAGCACCGGCUAACUCCGUGCCAGCAGCCGCGGUAAUUC
rnacentral:rRNA from 1 species